rnacentral:rRNA from 1 species
UCCAGACUCCUACGGGAGGCAGCAGUGGGGGAUAUUGCACAAUGGGGGGAACCCUGAUGCAGCGACGCCGCGUGGGUGAAGGAGCGUUUCGGCGCGUAAAGCCCUAUCGGCAGGGAAGAAGGAGGACGGUACCUGACUAAGAAGCCCCGGCUAACUAUGUGCCAGCAGCCGCGGUAAUACGUAGGGGGCAAGCGUUAUCCGGAUUUACUGGGUGUAAAGGGGGCGCAGACGGCAGCGCAAGCCAGGAGUGAAAGCCCGGGGCCCAACCCCGGGACUGCUCUUGGAACUGCGCGGCUGGAGUGCAGGAGGGGCAGGCGGAAUUCCUGGUGUAGCGGUGAAAUGCGUAGAUAUCAGGAGGAACACCGGUGGCGAAGGCGGCCUGCUGGACUGCAACUGACGUUGAGGCCCGAAAGCGUGGGGAGCAAACAGGAUUAGAUACCCUUGUA